CCACGCUCAGGGUCCCAGCGGGGACUCCGCCCUGGGUCACAGCAGCCCUUCCCAGGCGGGGGCGUCUGGGCACUGGGGGGGGGCAUUGUUUUUCUUCCUCCGUGAACAUUGCCAGCCCAACUGAUAACACACUGCAAUCUAGUUCUCUGUGUGUAUGUGUGUGCAUAAAAAUAAAAAUAAAGUAAAAAUGAAAAUACAAGGAUCUCAUUAGUAAAACAGAAUUACAGUAAACUGAGCCUGAGUAACUCUUGACUAAGCAAAACCAACUACGAGAAGUGCCCCAAACACUGCGGAAGCCGGAGCCCUGCGUGACUGAAAGUGGAGCGUUUCUUCCAAAGGCUUCCUUUAGAGGAAAGCGAAACUGAGCCGGGCCCACCUCACCCGCCGGCCCGGGGAAGCGCUCAGCGAAGCCGCCUUCCCCAGACAGAUGCAGCUCCCAAGUCCAGCCGAUCGCCGGCUUCUUCAUCCUGCUUUCUCUCUUGCCCCAUGAACACCGGCCUGGACAAUUUUCGUGCGAGUAUCCCACCUCUGCUGGUGGGCUUCGCACAAUUCACACGUUGGCUUUACUCACAGGAGCUCCACGUUUCCUUUGCGCUGAAGGACUCACCGGCUGAUCUCUGAUAGCAGACAAAGCCCGAAGGGGACAGCAGACGCCCUCCCGCACAGCCGGCUGCGGCCUCAGGAUGAACGCAGUGAGUGCCUCAAGCCCUGCGGGAAAUCUGCCCCUGCCGACCGGCCCAGGGCUGCUGGAGGACCAAGCACCGGCUUUGGUUUUUCACGAACUGCUUGAAAACUCUCCUUUUACACCGGUGUCCACUGUGGUGGGCGGCGAUGGGGGCUUUGCAGAGCCCGGGUCUCGUUCCGUGUGCACAGCGCUGGGGACAGGCGGGGCUGGGGGUGCGGCUGGUUCCUCCAGAGUCUGAGCCCCAGGCCCUGCCCGCCGGGCGCACUUCCCAGCCGGGCGCCCCCACCCCGUCAGCGUCAGCGUCAGCGUCAGCGUCAGCGGAGCUUCUCCCCAGCGCAGACGCCUGCUCCCCCCCAUCUCAAAAGAAGCCUGUAGUGUACCUUUUCAGAUUCCUGGUGGGAGGCAUAGCUCUCGUCCUAGUUACCCUUUGGCAGGGGAGAAGAUCUGCUUCAGGAGCCCCAGCUAACACUGUGAGUGCGGAAGUCCUGGGUGGUGGCAAGAUGUCCCCAGAAGGGGGUGGGGCCCGGCCAGUGGGAGGAGCCCUGCAGUGUCCUACCCUCCAGGCUGCAGUCCUCCUUUAACCUUGCUGUCCCCCAUCUGGCUGUUUUUCUAGGACCCCCAACAUGACCGUGCCAGACACCAGAGGCAUCCUGGCCACAGGCAAGGCCCCAACGGACCUCCCAAGGCCCAUAAGCAAAGCUAAGGGUUCUACGAGCAGCUUUCCCUGGAGCCACGCAGAGUCCUCCCCAUCCAGGUUCCAAACGGCUCUCCCACCGCUGGCUUCCUGGACCUCCACCUCAGCUCAGCCUGGGCAGUCCUGCUGCUCCUCUCCCGAAGAGAAGAUGGGGGCCCACAGAGACCGCCGGCGAGAUCCCCUGGUCCUGUGCUGUGUGUGGCUCCCACUCACCACCUUGUGCGCUUCCCUGCCCUUGAGUCCUGGAGACACAAAUACAUGCAGCUAAUCACCUCUUUUUAGUCACUCGUUCACUUGACAAUAGUGCAUCGAUACAUACUUAUGGAGCAUUUGUUUGACACAUUCGGUCUUCUACCAUGGCAGGACCUGGGGAACGCUGUAAACGUGACUUUGUCCUGGACCUCAAGGACCUUCCGGCCUCCCGAGAGCUUCAGCAGGUGUAUUCACCAGUUUUCCUCACUCUUACAAAACACCCAACGCAGGCCAUUCAUGCAGAAAGAGGUUUAUGCCACUCAGUUUGGGAGCUUCAAAGCCGUGGUACCUCCAUUGGCUGAUACAGUAUAAAAAGUUGAGUGAAAGUUUGGGUUGCAGUUAAGGGGAAGGGGAAGGAUAGGAGGGAAAAUAAAACAUGUUACUGCAUGCGUGAAUGUGAUGAAACAAACUCAUUAUUCUGUAUCAUUAAAAUGCACUUGUAAAUUUUUUAAUUUGUGGGUGGAGUUUGAGAGUCCAUGCUGCAAAUAUAAAGAACCGAGCCCUGGAAUCUGUGCGUUGUGCUUCUCAGUAAAGAUGAGGGGCUGUUUGGGCAGUGGUGAGUGGUGAUUUUGGUGAUCCAAACUGGGGACACAGGGCGGUGCCCCUGAGCCUCAGCGGGCAGCUGUUAAGCGUUUGCAGCACACUGCUGGACCCUGCGAUGUUCUGCAGCGUAGGGAACCACGGCAGCACGCACGGGCGCCUCCUGGAUCAUCCUGCUCACAGACACAGAAGGAAGCCUGGUGAUUUCGGGGCUUUCCUGGGGAGUCAAUGUGGAUGGGGCAGUUUCGGUCCAGGCAGGCAGUUGCACAGAUUUGAGGUGGGGAACUGUACACUUGAAAACGGUUGGGAUGGUAAGUUUUAGGUUGUCCUUGUUUCAUCACAAUGAAAUAAAAUAAACAAUUUACUAUUUUUUUUAAAAAAAAGCACACCCAGGUGUCUCAGGAGCAUCUCCAAGUUUUAAACCCCCAGUGCCCCUCUCCCAGUUCCUGCAGGAGGCCUCGGUCCCCAGUGCGAUGCUGAUUACGCCCUUGGCUCUGUAGUCUAGUCACACAUCCUGCACCUAAACAAAAGGGAGGCAUUCACAGGGUUGCUUGGCUCCAAGUCCAUCCGUCCUGGCAGGGCAGAGGC
rnacentral:lncRNA from 1 species